AUUGAACGCUGGCGGCAGGCCUAACACAUGCAAGUCGAACGAGUGGCGGACGGGUGAGUAAUGUCUGGGCAACUGCCUGAUGGAGGGGGAUAACUACUGGAAACGGUAGCUAAUACCGCAUACCAUCAGAUUUGCCCAGAGGGGUUUAGCUAGUUGGUGGGGUAACGGCUCACCAAGGCGACGACCCCUAGCUGGUCUGAGAGGAUGACCAGCCACACUGGAACGGGGACACGGUCCAGACUCCUAGGGGAGGCAGAAGUGGGGAAUAUUGCAAAAGGGGCGAAAGCCUGAUGCAGCCAUGCCGCGUGUAUGAAGAAGGCCUUCGGGUUGUAAAGUACUUUCAGCGGGGAGGCGUUACCCGAAGAAGAAGCACCGGCUAACUCCGUGCCAGCAGCCGCGGUAAUUC
rnacentral:rRNA from 1 species